rfam:Schistosoma haematobium scaffold1638_12, whole genome shotgun sequence.
AUUCAACUGACGAGUCCCAAAUAGGAUGAAAAGUGCGUCUCGGAU